AGUGAACGCUGGCGGUAGGCCUAACACAUGCAAGUCGAACGGCAGCACAGUAAGAGCUUGCUCUUACGGGUGGCGAGUGGCGGACGGGUGAGGAAUACAUCGGAAUCUACUUUUUCGUGGGGGAUAACGUAGGGAAACUUACGCUAAUACCGCAUACGACCUACGGGUGAAAGCAGGGGAUCUUCGGACCUUGCGCGAUUGAAUGAGCCAAUGUCGGAUUAGCUAGUUGGGGGGGUAAAGGCCCACCAAGGCGACGAUCGGUAGCUGUUCUGAGAGGAUGAUCGGCAACCUGGAAGUGAGGCAGGGCUCAGACACCGACCGGGAGGAACCGGUGGGAAUAAUAGGCGAGGGGGGGAAAGCGAAUUCAGGCCAACCGGCGAGGGUAAGAAGGACUUCGGGUUGUAAAGCCCUUUUGUUGGGAAAGAAAAGCAGCAGGUUAAUACCCCGCUGUUCUGACGGUACCCAAAGAAUAAGCACCGGCUAACUUCGUG
rnacentral:rRNA from 1 species